rnacentral:sRNA from 1 species
ACUCACUCCCCCUCCACCCAGAGAGCAGGACGGAGGUGUGAACUUGAGCCAGACCAGAAGGAGCUCGACAGCGGCCACAGGACAAGCCCGAGGAGCAGGCGGGCGCUCCAGGGAAAAACCACGCACAAAACCUUCUUCAGAGAAAAGGGAAGCUCCAAACCUGACUGAGACAAACGGAGGCUCUUGAAAUAAAAAGAAAAUACCGCAGGACAAACAGCCUCCCGUCUCCGGGCGCAGGUCGUGGUCACAGUGGUGACCUGGGAUUGCUUUCCCAGGACUGCGAGUCGGGCUUGGGUUUCUCCUCCCUGCAUUCCACAGCUGCUCUGGUCAUCGCAACGUGUUUAUUGAUCACUGAAGAAUCUCAAGUUUUGAGACGAGGAAGAAACACCCAUUAGGUCUCCAAGACAGCUGUGUUUCACAAACUUUAAGGAGACAGAAAUUUUCUCCCCUGGAACCUGUGAAAAUGUCCCUUUUCCAAGGAAGUGAAGGUUAAGAGGUCUCGUUCUCACAGACCCUCAGGAAUUUCGCUUGGCUCCGAGCUUUGACCUCCGAGAGAGCCAUGGAAAAGCUGCUGCGGCUGUGCUGCUGGUGCUCCUGGCUGCUGCUAUUUUAUUACAACUUUCAGGUGCGUGGCGUCUACUCCAGAUCGCAGGACCAUCCAGGAUUUCAGGUGUUGGCAUCUGCUUCCCAUUACUGGCCACUGGAGAAUGUGGAUGGGAUCCAUGAACUUCAGGAUACAACUGGAGGUAGAGACGCGGGUGCUGAGAGCGGCUGUGGGCGUGGGAAUCCCAGGGCCAUCAGGAGGCGCGGGUGCUGAGAGUGGCUGGCCUUGAAAUCCCAGGGCCAUUGGGGGACGUGGGUGCUGAGAGUGACUGUGGGCCGGGGAAUCCCAGAGCCAUCAGGGGAGCAGAUGUGGACAGAAUCUGCUUUGAAGCCACGGUGAUAGAGAUGAACAAAUACUUGUGUAACUUCCCGUAAUAGUUAUUUCAAAGCUUUUUUUUUUUUUUAGAGAUGGGGUCUUGCUAUGUUGCCAGGCUGGUCUCAAGCUCCUGGCCUCAGCAAUCCUCUGGCCUUGGCCUCCCAAAGUGCUGGAAUUACAGGCGUGAGCCACUGUGCCAGGCCACGAAGUAUUUUACUAGAAUUUUUAUAGAGAGAGCUAUUGCAUAUUGAAUGGGAGAAUUUCUGAUUCAAAAUAUGAUUAAAAUGUGCAUUUUCCCCAACAAUCUUGAAACAGAAGCUGGCCUGAGGAUGCCUCUAUGUGCAAGUCAGGCGUCUGUUUUCUACGUUGAAUGGACUAGCGUCAUCUGCACACUGGCCACAGCAGGGGCCUAUUUGAAGCAGAUGUCAAAGGUCAUGCCAACUAAGACCAACUCACAUGUUUGAAGGGCCCCCGUUUCAUUCAGCAAACGCAUCCCCAUCUACCAAUCAGCUUCCCCACACAUCAGCUCCAUUUGAAAAGAGUAAGCAUCGCCUAAGACGUUUCCAGUGAGGCCCAGUUCCAAAUAGUCUGUUUGAGUUCAUUCAGACAUUUGCUGGUAGGAGAAACCUCACAUCUUUCUGGGUAUUUUUUUCCCCUUUCUAAUAAGGACUCUUUAAAAACCGUAAGCUUUGUAUGACAGUUUUCCAUUUUUAUUUUUAUUUACUGAUUGCUCUUGAUCAUGUCAGAUGGCUGACAUGGGCGGCGAGGGUUUACCGUACAGCAAUCCUAGCACGUGCUUCGGUCGUCCCUGUUCCGUGGGAGGCAUUUUAUUUUUAAAACCAUGUAUUGCUGGUGACUGUGAUUUCCACAUUGACACACUGGCAUUUUCCUUACUCCUGUGAUUUAAUAUGUUGCUGGACAUCACUGCUGAAGCUUCUGAAAUGUUUCCUUAAAAUUUGCAAACUGAGAACCAUCGGUGCUGCCUCUGUUGCUGGUGUUCUCAGAGUGGGGCGCAGUUGAGGAGCACGCACUCCGUGAAGGGCACCUGCGUGGGUGCCACGCGCUCCCUGCCCAGCAUCGCUCUCAUCCGCCUGCCUGUAGGGCAGCAAUAUGGCCACAUUUGGAAACCACCCUACAGCCAGAUGUCUUUUCCAAAGGGUCGGCCUGGCAGGGCUGAGAAAGCCCUUGUGCAAGUUUGUUUCACCACUGGCUCGGGUUCAAACAAACCACGUUCCCUUGUUGGCAUCUAGUUUUCUUUUUUCAAGGCCUUUAUUUUAAAGCCAUGGAAACGGGGUCAUUUCACCAAGUGGAAAUACCUUCUUGAAACAGCUCACUGUUCCAGGACCCAGCAACUAAAAUGCUAGGAGUUUUUUCAAACAAAAGCUUGAAUAACUGUCAGUGUCUUUCUCUCUUCACCCCUAUACCUGAACUCAUUGUGGUGGCUUAAAUCAGUAACUCUUGGUGCUUUGAAACCUUUACCUAUGAAAAACUCUUCUCCUAAGGUGAUAUAAUCACACAGAUACAGUUACACACUGUGGCUGAAUUUUGCUGCCUGAAUAUAUUGACUUCCAGUAAAGCACUAAUAUAUCCGUGUUUGUCCUGGAACAUUGCAAUGUGGAAGCUUUCUCUGCACUUCCCUACUGGAUGCAUUCUCUAGGUUGGAAUGCUAUGCUGGCAUAUUUCAAUUGAUUACAGCCUUCUUAAGGGAGAAAAGAAAAGAAUAGUCCCCAUCAGCACAUUUUGCUGCGGGGAACAGGUGAAUAGCUUUGGCAAGCCUUUUGAGGAUGUGCGGCUUUGUCGUUUGUUGCCGAACUCUCCGUCGUUUUGUCCAUUUGUCAUCAUCUCACGCAGUCAUUUUCAUGCAGAGUGUCUGUCUCAUCAGUUCUUGUGACAUCAUAACCAUUCAUCCUUUUGUUGAGCCUGUGUUAUGAGUGGCCAAGUUCAAUUUCAUAUCUCUCAACUAAGUAUCCGCCUAUGUGUUGGAGCCAGAAAAUUAGAACUAUCGCUUGUGGCCAAAUUCAGCAGCCAUCACGCCCUGGUGUGGGAACUGAGUGGCGCCACUGGAGUGGCCGAGCUGCUGACCAAAGUAAACAAGGGUGGUGGAGGCUGGCGGACGUGAGGUCCGAAGAGAAAGUCCAGGGCGCUCUUGGAUGAAAGAGCCCCUCCUGGUGCCUGCUGCAGGUUGAGAGAUAUGUUGGUCCCAUUUGUCUUUUGUCUCACUCACUUGCUGUGCUUUUUCUUUUUGUUGUUUCACCCAGCGUCCCGAACCCACAAGCUCACUGUGCUUCCUUCCCGUAAUGCUACUUUUGUGUAUUCCAAUGAUUCUGCCUACUCAAAUCUCUCUGCAACCGUAGGUGAGCAUUUAUGUACUUUUGUUCUUCGUUCUGUCAAGUUUGGAUCUACGAUGAAUUCUAAGGCCAAUUCUGUUUGGUAGUAUCUGAAUUCACUACAUCUUGGCUAGCAAGUGAGCAAAUGUCCCAGUCAAGACAGCAGAUCCAAGGUGUUAAAAAAUAACCACUAGGGUUAAGUCUAAAGGAAGAUUGCAAUACAUUAGAACAGGGGUCCCCAGUCCCUGGGCCACAGACUGGCAGCAAUCUGUAGCCUGUUAGGAACUGGGCUGCACAGCAGGAGGUGAGUGGUGGGUGAGUGAGUGAAGCUUCAUCUGUAUUUACAGCUGCUCUCUAUCGCUCGCAUUACCGCCCAAGCUCCACCUCCUGUCAGAUCAGCAGCAGCAUUAAAUUCUCUUGGGAGCACAAACCCUACUGUGAACUGCACAUGGGAGGGAUCUAGGUUGCAUGCUCCUUAUGAGAAUCUAAUGCCCGAUGAUCUGUCACUGUCUCCCAUCACCCCCAGAGGGGACCGUCUAGUUGCAGGAAAAUAAGCUCAGGGCUCCCCCGAUUCUAUGUGAUGGUGAGUUGUAUAAUUAUUUCAUUACAUAUUGUAAUAUAAUAAUAAGAGAAAUAAAGUGCACAAUAAAUGUAAUGCACUUGAAUCAUCCCGAAACCAACCGCUCCAACCCAUCCAUGGAAAAAUUGUCUUCCAUGAAACCGGUCCCUGGUGCCAAAAAUGCUGGGGACCACCGCACUAGAAGGUAUAUAUAUUCUUUCAAGUUCCCAGGAUCGUCUAAGCCAGCUGCUUGUUUUCAGAACAAAACAGACCCAAGAUGAGACCUUUUCUAAACAUAGAGAUUGUUUGGAUUUUUAAAUGAAUUGUCUUCUUUGGGGGAGGAAAAGCAUGCCAUUUUAAUGGAAAAUUAAAGUUAAUUUAAAAAUACCUCAUCAAACAUUUGAUUUCUUAUAAACAUUAAAAUCAGCAUUUCGUCUGUAGCUGGACUUUAAAAAAAUCGUUAAAAGCUGUUUGUGAAACAUAUACCCACAAGAAUCAUGGUUAAAUUAUUGUCUUAUUUGAUAACCUCCAGAGCCUACAUGGCUCAACAAGAAGCUCAAAGCAAAAGGGGUAGUAGCAACUGAGGCAUUUAUUAGAUCAGCGUAGAAGCCAGUUCUGACCCUGUCAAUCUUACCCUGUGAUCCUUUUCAACACAGAAACUGACUGCUCUUUCAACUGUAAGGUGAUUGGCUUCCAAAAUUAAUGUUUCCAGUCAAGCACUCUGACUUAGGGAUUUAUACAGCCUAGCUCAAUUACGCAACCACUAGUGAUCCAUUCAACCUUGCAAUAUAUAGGUCUCCCUCAGCAAAAAUGGGAUAAAAUUUAAAAAUGAGUUUAAAAGCAGUAAGGAAAAACACUGAGGUCCCUUGAGUCGGUUAUCCAUGUGACAACGUAGCUGGAAAGCCUGAGCUGGGGUUGGGGUCGGGUCCACAGACCCCGUUAGCUCUCCCGUGUGUCUUCAGCUGGGCUGACGGCUGCCGGGGGCUCAGACAUUCUUCCCAGCCCAUGUGGUAGCAAAGAUCUCUGAGCGACUAUGACCCCAGUUAACAGUAAAUCUACUCGCUCCUGAUUUUUACAGUCUUCACUUAUCUAUUCUGUAAACCAUUUACCCCACGCCCUCACCAUCAGAUACCCUGGCCAUGGGAACGGGACACAACAAGAUGAUCGGACGGGGCAGUGCCCCUCGGGAUUUGCGGCCAGCUGGGCUUGUCACCCACAGGCUCUCCUGGGACUAUGCAAAAUGUUACUUGGGGUUUUCCUCCUGGCGCCUGAAAAUGGGUUCUGCUAAAAUCCCGAAUCUACCUGUUCAGGUUCAGGGGAUUUCAAUUAAAACUCAAAAGGAGAAGGAGUUCAGCUGUAGCUCCACGUUCACGCUUGCACUGAAACGUUCCACUUGGAACACUCAGCAUGAGGACGGGAGUGGGGAGGGCUCGAAAAGCAGGUCGGCACAAAGUCCAGGAGAGGAGGCGGUCGCCACGCCACGCUUGGUAACCCAUCUGUUGGCAAAUAUCACAAUUAUCACAUCAUCAUACGAUAUGAUAUGCAAUAUGAAAUCCAUAUGCAAAGGUCUGUAUGCAUUUGUAUAUAAUACAUGCAUAUUAUAUACAAAUACAUUAAUAUCAUUUAAUAUUAAAUUUUUAUCUGACACAUACACAUUAAUAAUUUACAAUUUAAUUACUAAUAAUUAAAUAUUACUGAUGCUAUGAAUAUUAACAUUAUAGAAUAAUAUAUGAUGUUAUAAAUAUAUAAUUAGAAAGAUAAAUAAUAAUGCAUACUUACACAUAAGUUAUUUGUAGGUCUGACACACAUCUUCAGACUUUUAAUCUCAGAAGGUUAUUAACAUAUGAUGUUGUCAUUUUUCUUCCUUAGAUAUUGUGGAAGGGAAGGUCAACAAAGGCAUUUACCUGAAAGAGGAAAAGGGAGUCACGCUUCUCUAUUACGGCAGGUACAACAGCUCCUGCAUUAGCAAGCCAGAGCAGUGUGGCCCUGAAGGGGUCACGUUUUCUUUUUUCUGGAAGACACAAGGAGAACAGUCUAGACCAAUCCCUUCUGCGUAUGGGGGACAGGUCAUCUCCAAUGGGUUCAAAGUCUGCUCCAGCGGUGGCAGAGGCUCUGUGGAGCUGUACACGCGGGACAAUUCCAUGACAUGGGAGGCCUCCUUCAGCCCCCCAGGCCCCUAUUGGACUCAUGUCCUAUUUACAUGGAAAUCCAAGGAGGGCCUGAAAGUCUACGUCAACGGGACCCUGAGCACCUCUGACCCGAGUGGAAAAGUGUCUCGUGACUAUGGAGAGUCCAACGUCAACCUCGUGAUAGGGUCUGAGCAGGACCAGGCCAAGUGUUAUGAGAACGGUGCUUUCGAUGAGUUCAUCAUCUGGGAGCGGGCCCUGACUCCGGAUGAGAUCGCCAUGUAUUUCACUGCUGCCAUUGGUCAGUGAGUGUGAAGGGCUGGGGCAGAUCCGCUGUCUGUUCCCAGGGUCACCCUGGUAUCAGCCUCCUUUCUUCCCACUCUCCCGUUGCAGCUAUCAGCACUGCAGGCGUGAGAUGUGUCCUAAUGAACCUUAUAAACACAGUUGUGUGUUAGAACACCUGUUCCCUGAGAUAGAGGAGUUAACAAUUUACUAGAGAUGCUUUGAGAUGAAUAUUGUUCUCUUGAUCAUCACGGGGGUUUCAAGGUAUAUGUGAUGGAGGAUUAUAGAAGGCUUUGGAGAGCAAAUAUUCCAGAUCCAUUAGUGUUUUUGAUCAACAAAUGUUAGCCGUGUGCCUCCCAGGGGAUGGGCCCUUGGAAAGCCCCGAAGAUACCUCUUCCUAUUCAGCACAGGGCAGUUGUUCGGGGCAGGGGCCUGUGGGUAGGUGGACUGGGGUUCAAAUAUUCAUUGUGCCAUAAUGAGCCGUGAGACUUUGGGAAGUCAUUUUUAAAAACUGAGGUCAAAUUCAUAUAACAUAAACAUAACCAUUUAAAAAUGAACAAAUCAGUAGCACUUGGCACAUUCACGGCGUUAUGCAGCUGCCACCUCUACCUGGCUUGGAAACAUUUUCAUCCCCCCAAAAGGAAACCCCGCACCCAGUGAGCACAGUCACUCCCCGUCUUCCCCUCCCCCAGACUCUGGCAACCACGAAUCUACUUUCUGUCUUUACCUAUUUUGGAGAUUCCACAUAAAUGGAAAUGUGUAACGUAUAACCUUUUUGUCUUAAUCUCUCAGAUUUUUUUUUGCUCUGUUAAAUGGAUAAAAAUACUACUACUCCCUUUCUGGGGGUGGUGUUGAUAAUAAAGGCCAUUAGCACAAUGCCUGGCAUAUGGCAAGAA